GUGAACAUUAUGACAAGCAUCUUCAGUAACAAAACAUCGUGAAACUCGAGUCUUUAACUAAACAGAAUGACAUUGUGAUGAGAUCUGACACUGAUUGUAAUACAUCUCAGUGCAUCUGACCACUGUGAAGCCAUCAUAUACAAACAGCUAAAAGAGGAAGGAAAACCGACACCACUUCCUUUCAUCCCCUCAGUGCAUGAAUAUACAAGUACAACUUCAAAACCGAACGCCAACGUUUUCACUGGCUCGCCUCUGAGGCUGAUUACUAACACAUUGGAGUCCGUUCAGAGCACCACACCCACCUUUGUUUUUGAGGGAAAAGCUGCUAACUUGAUCAACACAGGCUGAACAGACAUGGAAGCUGCAGUUGGACUGUUGCUGGUGUUGCUUAGAGUCUCUCAUGGUGUGAAAACUCACUGUGAUGGCAGACAGGAUGGAGCUCAGUGUUAUGGAGCUUUGGGAGGAACUGUGGACAUCCAGCUGAUGGACAGCACCUCAGAAAUACCUAGAUACCAACUGUUAAAGAAUUCAUUAGUAGUACUAUUCGUCAGAAAUAAUAAGGUUCUUUCUAAUACCACAGAACGCAGGUCUCUCUUUUUUUCCAGUAAUAGAACAUUUAGGAUCAAUAACCUGAGCAGGAAUGACAGUGGUAAAUAUACCCUUCAAACCUUUGAUUCAGAUGGACAUUCAUCAGGCGAGUGGACUUUACAGUUGUUUUUUCAAGCUCCUGUGUCCUCUGUCCUGCUGCUCUCUGAGUGUCUGUCCCAGGGAGAGAGGAGGGUGUCCUGCUCCUCUCAGGGAGGGGACAGUCCUCAGUACAGCUGGACUCUGGAUGGACGCACACUGACAGAUGCUGAGCUCCUUUCUGUAAAUAAUAAGACUAACAUCAUCACUCUGAAACAGCACGUCCUAGGACGUCUGGUCUGCUCAGUCAGGAACAACGUCAGUAAUGUCCCCAAAGAAGAGAUGAUAUCUACCUGUGGCUUUAUUUUCAUUAACUGUACUUCAGUCAAUGGGACAAAGAUAUCAGAGUGGGUGUAUGAAGCUAAUAACACCCUGUGUACUCAACCAAAACAGACUUCGAUGGGUAAAGACUAUGGAACUACCAUCAGUGAUGAACCAUGGUACAUUAGGAAUUUGCCACUGAUAGGUGGUGUUCUCUCAGCGCUGGUAAUUUUCUUGGUUGUUGGUGUAGCAGUCAUAUGUGCUCGGAGGAAAAAGCAAAACAGCAAACCUACAAAAAAGGAGGAAGAAGAUGACCAGGAAGUCUUUCCUGAUGCCAAGUUUGUCAAAAGGCCGGCAAACCAAGCUGAGAAAAAAGUGGCGGUGGAGUACGGCCAAGUCAAGUCUGCAAAGCGACCUCGGAAGCCUAAACCAACAGGAACUGAUUGUGUGUAUGCUAACGUCCAUAAAGUCAGGUGAUGAAGUGCUCAGUGCUUUUAGACAGACAGCUCCACUGAAGGUAGUUGGAGUGAGGAGCUGAUGUUAAGAUAUUCCUAAAGGUCCUUCAUUUAAUGUAAAUUCCCAGCAUAAAAAUACAAACCAUAGCUUAUAAAUGUUAAUUUACUGGAUUAUUUAACUUUUAAUGCACUGCUGUAUUAUAUCAGGUUAUUAACACAUCUGUUGUUAUAUGACCUCUUGAUUUAAUUACAAAACACUGAGUGUUUUCUGCAUCUGUACUCUGUGGAAGCCAUAUAUAACACAGGUUAUGACUGCUAUUUAGGACUCUUUCUCUUUUAACUUGACUAGUUUUUCACUUGGUAAAGGUUCGACUAAUGUGUAAAUAGAGACAUGAUAAAGAGAAAGCACUUCAUCCUUUAGGAAAAUAUGACUGUAUAAAGUCAUAAAGCUUCUUUUGAACCAUACAUGUUAUGUAAAAAAAAAAAAAAACAUCACUGGCUUUUAAUAUAUUUUUGCUUUUGCAAAGAUACGCUUUAACAAUGUACUUGUAUAAUAUAAAUUGGAUAUAUAUACCCCUGAGAGUGAGUACAUAGUAGUGAUGGACAAGUAGAGGAAAAAGGCUGUAGUGACAGAUGUAGCUAUACCAAGUGAUAGCAACAUCAGGAAGAAGGAGCACAAGAAGAUCGAGAAAUACCAAGGGCUGAAAGAGGAGCUAGAGAAGAUGUGGAAGGUUAGGCCAACAGUGGUCCCAGUUGUAAUUGGAGCACUUGGGGCUGUGACUCCCAAAAUGGGCAAGUGGCUCAGAGAUUCCAAGAACAACAUCCAAGAUCUGUGUCCAGAAGAGCACAGUCCUAGGAACAGCAAAGAGACUGCACAGGACCCUCAAGCUCCCACACCUCUGGUAGAAGACCCCAGUUGAAAAAAUAGAGACCACCCACAGAUUGAGUGUGGAAUUUAUAUAUAUACAGUGGUGUAAAAAGGUGUUUGCCCC
ensembl:lncRNA